rnacentral:misc_RNA from 1 species
GGAUGUCCUCACGGGCAGUGCAAAGUGCGCGCUCGUGUGCCUGUGAGGGGUGCUGCUUUCCUGAUAUAUACAUACAUAUACAUACAUAUACAUGCAUAUACAUGCAUAUACAUGCAUAUACAUACAUAUACAUACAUAUACAUACAUAUACAUGCAUAUACAUACAUAUACAUGCAUAUACAUGCAUAUACAUGCAUAUACAUGCAUAUACAUGCAUAUACAUGCAUAUACAUACAUAUACAUACAUAUACAUACAUAUACAUGCAUAUACAUACAUAUACAUGCAUAUACAUGCAUAUACAUGCAUAUACAUGCAUAUACAUGCAUAUACAUACAUAUACAUACAUAUACAUACAUAUACAUACAUAUACAUGCAUAUACAUGCAUAUACAUACAUAUACAUACAUAUACAUACAUAUACAUGCAUAUACAUGCAUAUACAUGCAUAUACAUACAUAUACAUGCAUAUACAUGCAUAUACAUGCAUAUACAUGCAUAUACAUGCAUAUACAUCAUAUACAUACAUAUACAUACAUAUACAUGCAUAUACAUGCAUAUACAUAUACAUGCAUAUACAUGCAUAUACAUACAUAUACAUACAUAUACAUGCAUAUACAUACAUAUACAUGCAUACAUACAUACAUACAUAUAUGUGUGCGUGUGCGUGUGCGUGUGUGUGUGCUUGUGUGUGCUUGUGGUCUUUCUCUAGUUUUUGGGCUUUCGGCGCACGUGGCGGCUGUGUGUCAUUCUGGUCAAAGUGAGUUUGUGUGUUCCACCUCUCCUCCUCGUGUCUUGCUCUCUCUCUCUCUUUCCCUUUUCACAUGCGCGUGUCUGCCAAUCACGCGCGCAAAAAAAAAAACGUAUAGCUGCAGCAGCAAAGCAAAAGGUGCAGCUCCAGCAGUGGUGCUCGCCGGCCCACGAGCGUACUUUUCUCCUCCUCUCUCUCUUUUCCUCGUGGCUCGUCUUUGUUCUUUUUGUGUGCGUGUCUUUCUCCGUCUCUCUCCUUCUCGAGAUGCCUCUGUUCACCCCUCACCCUACCCCUCUUCCACUGUCCUUUUUAUUCUGUUUUUUUUUUCCUUCGGUCCUUUUCUUUUUUGCGCAGGAUUGGAUUGCUUGUUUCGCACCCUUGCUUGCGGUUGCCAUUCUUUUUUGGUGUUUUUCGGUUGCGCACCAGCGAUUCCCUUCUCGUUUUUCUUUUUUUCGCUGUGCCUUCGUCUUCAUCGAGCUGUAAAGUAGCAAAUCUUUUUUUUUUUCCUUUUGUAUUUCUGUUAGGGAUGCGAUGACUCUUGCGUCUAACAUGCCAUGCACUCUCCUACGUUUGUUUGCGCUUCUCUCUUUUUUUUCCUUCUCCCUCUUGGCCAUGCACGCACUCAUAGAGACGUGUGCCACCCACGGACCCGUGCACAUACGUUUGUGCCUAUAUCUUCUUCCUAUUCUAUGAGAAGGUUUGCCAGUCUCUGUGUAUCUGGAUGUCGUUCUCUGGAUGUGGUUGCUCUUGUCUUACGUUUCGACCCCUUUCUUACCCACGGCGUGCACUGCAUGUGGAUGAGGUGGAAUCAGCGUACAGACACAUAUUCAGACGCGCGUCACCAAC